rnacentral:rRNA from 1 species
GACGAACGCUGGCGGCGUGCUUAACACAUGCAAGUCGAACGGAAAGGCCCUGCUUUUGUGGGGUGCUCGAGUGGCGAACGGGUGAGUAACACGUGAGUAACCUGCCCUUGACUUUGGGAUAACUUCAGGAAACUGGGGCUAAUACCGGAUAGGAGCUCCUGCUGCAUGGUGGGGGUUGGAAAGUUUCGGCGGUUGGGGAUGGACUCGCGGCUUAUCAGCUUGUUGGUGGGGUAGUGGCUUACCAAGGCUUUGACGGGUAGCCGGCCUGAGAGGGUGACCGGCCACAUUGGGCCUGAGCUUACGCCCCGCAUCCUUCGGGAGGCAGGAGGGGGGAAUUUUGCACCAUGGGCGGAAGCCUGAUGCAGCCACGCCGGGUGCCGGGUGGCGGCCUUCGGGUUGUAAACCGCUUUCGCCUGUGACGAAGCGUGAGUGACGGUAAUGGGUAAAGAAGCACCGGCUAACUACGUG